UGUUUCUUAAAGUCCGGGUGAUGCAAUACCGGCGCGCUGGCAGUCUGUAAGAGGGGCUGAUAGUGCCGAAAAAUUCCGGAUGAAUCGCCGAUACCAGACCGCCGUACCCAAAAAUCUCCUGACUUGCCUCACGUUCUUCGGCAUCGGUAUCUGCACGAUCGCUUGCACCUUCUCUGGGUCGGUCCUCAGUGCGCCAUCGCCCACGAUGUACCCCAGGUUUGCAGUCUCCAGGCACUUUGCGACUUCCUCUAGUAGCUUCACGUGCUCCUCAAACGUUCGGGAAAUCACCAACAGGUCGUCCAAAUACACAAACACGUGGCUUCGGAGUCGCUGCGGGAGAACCCGGUCCAUCAACCGACACAACCGCUGGGCUGCGUUACACAACCCGAACGGCAUUGAUUUAAACUGAUAGAGUGAUCUCCCUGGAAACGUAAAUGCCGUAUACGUCCUACUCUCCGGCUCCAGCUCUAUCUGCCAAAACGCAUGCUUCAGGUCGAUGCUACUGAUGAACACGGUGUCCUCCACACGACUCAGGAUCGACUCGAUACUCUGAAGCGGGCUUACGGACCAGAGUCACCCGAUUGCUCCACGGGCUUUCGCUCAGCUCGAUCACUCCAAGACGCAACAUUUCGUCGACUUCCGCAAACAACAGCUCCUGUACCGCCGGGGAUACUGGGUAAAAGCGUUCCUUCACAGGCACCGCUCCCUCCACCAGACGUAUCUCGUGUUUGACCAUUGUCGUCCUUCCUAAUCCGUGCUUGUCAAAACACCGAAAUUUGUCCUUCACCUGUUCCAUGCGUGCUUGCUGCGACUGGGUUAAGACAUGAGGUUCCGUCUGUCUACUUCUCGUCAGCAGUUCUGCCUCGAUCUCUUCUAAUUCCUCUUCUCGUUCCAGGCCUACUAUCUGCGGAGCCAAUCCAAACUUUCGCCAGAAAUCGAGCCCCAGAUACAGUGAUUGUUUCAAUGACGGACACAAGAAUAACUCCAUCGGGUGCUUCUGGCCUUUGUAUGCCAUCACUACCUUCACAUGGCCUAGGAUCUGAUGAGGUGUACCGCCCGCAGCUCACUGAUGCCCCCGUAUCGAGCAGUCCCAUCAGCGUCUUCGCCCAGACUCACGUGCGCAAACGGCCUCUCGUCCCGGCUUACUGCAGAACGGAUUGCUGCACAUAUGCCACGUCGUUUCCUCUGGCGUAUCCGGAACCGGUCCCGAGCCCUCUGUGCUCUAGCCGACCUCGUUAGGCUUAACCCCGCCAGCUGGUCUCCCAGUAUUCUUCUCCUGGCCUGCUUAUAUCGCUGCCACCUUUCCUGUAACGGCUUACGCUCGGACCAUCUCGACUCAGGUAUGUCCUCAGCAUGUAAUUCUACCGUAUUGUUGGAGGACAGAACUAUUGGCUGCUCGUG